rnacentral:rRNA from 1 species
UACGGGGGGGAGACAGCUGUUGUGAAUUAUUGGGCGUAAAGAGCUCGUAGGCGGUGUGUCACGUCGGCCGUGAAAACCUGCAGCUUAACUGUGGGCGUGCGGGCGAUACGGGCAGACUGGAGUACUGCAGGGGAGACUGGAAUUCCUGGUGUAGCGGUGAAAUGCGCAGAUAUCGGGAGGAACACCAAUGGCGAAGGCAGCUCGCUGGGACGUGACUGACGCUGAGACGCGAAAGCGUGGGGAGCAAACAGG